AUGGACGUCACACUCAGAUUUUCAACAAGUCUCUGGAGUCCGACAAAUCUAGCUGGCAACCGGCUGAAAAAGCGGCAGUUUUCAGCUGCAAGAGGCAUAAUUCCUAAACUGUAUGAAUGUGACUUCGCUGUGAUACAGUACAGACGGCAGCCAGCAGGAAAUGUCUUAACUCUUUCCUGCCCACGUGACGUGGCCUUUGAUGGCAGCAUCUGGGUGCUCAUAGACUUUGACUUGUGCCUCCAGGAGAGGCCUUUGUAAUGUGCUUCUUUGCCAGAUGCCUGUUGUCUUCUACCCUGUUUGCUCUGCCUCGCUGGCAAUCUUGAUACUGCCAGAGCUAAGCAGGGUUACCUGGCUUAUGGCUGAUUCUCACAACAUGCAUGGCAGAUUGACUUAGGGGCAAUAUAAUAUCUCAGGGCAGAGUUGACAACACUUGCCCAGGACAAUGUAGGGAAGAAGGAAGGAGUUUCUGGUCCCUGCAUACACCAAAGCCCUAAGACAGUUCCUUUGCCUUUAGCUUCCCUUGGACUGCAAGGAGAUCAAACCUGUCAAUCUUAAAGGAAAUCAGUCCUGAAUAUUCAUUGGAAGGACUGAUGCUGAAGCUGAAACUCCAAUACUUUGGCCACCUGAUGUGAAGAACUGACUCAUUGGAAAAGACCCUGAUGAUGGAAAAGAUUGAAGGCAGGAGGGAAGGUGAUGACAGAAGAUGAGAUGGCUGGAUGGCAUCACCGACUCGAUGGACGUGAGUUUGAGUGAACUCCAGGAGCUGGUGAUGGACGGGGAAGCCUGGCGUGCUGCAGUCCACGGGGUCACAAAGAGUCAAACAUGACUGAGUGACUGAACUGAACUGACCUGAAGUCAAUUUCGUGUGAAAAGGAGUGGGAAGAAAACAUCAAGGGGCAGCUGCUAGAAAGGGUUCAGUGACAAAGAGGAAGAGGGCUUUCCAGACGAGGAGACAUGAUGUACUGCACAGGUAAGAGAGGAUGAGUGACACGGCCUGAGAUAGAAGUAUUGAGGUAUGGCUGUGCCCGUAGUAGCGAGAGGUAGGGGAAGGGCUGUUAGGUGGAUAAAUAGGAGGUGACACUGGGAAAGUAGUUAGAGCUGGGUUGUGAAAUGUCUUCUGUCAUUUAUGUUAGAAACAAAUUAAAGACACACACGCACAGACUGGAGAAGAGCAGAGGGCUUAAAAAAUACAAUUUAAAUACUUCUAAUGAUCUGACAGCAAAGAAAAAUAGUACAGCAAAACAGAUCCUCCCAGAUGUGAUCAGCAUGCUUAAGGAUCUUUAACUUUACAAGCCAUUCAGAAAUAAAACUUCCUGGGUCUGACAUCCUUGUUUGUGACCUUGUAAUUGCAGAGCUAAUAACUUUAAUGCUUGAAAUUAAAGGGGCCUUGAGACCAGAGAAAUACAGCAUCAUCUUAUUUUUUUUUUAAUUUUUGGUUUGUUCUCAUAUUUUUAUAUUAAAAUAUAUAAGCAAUAAGAUUUUAUACUUUACACCAUAAAUAAAUUCCUGUUGUUAACAAAUGUCUUCAUAUACAAGCAGAUUAAAAAUAUAUUUGUAUAAAAUUUCAAGUGUAUGCAAGAAAGAAAUUUAUUCCCUGAAUAAAUAGGUGUUCAGUAUGCUUGCUUCCAUUCUGUUACUUAUGGAUUACAUAUAGUUUUUGUGUGACUAUUUUCCAAUGUUUAGAACUGAGGUUCCCCCAGACUCACUUCAUUAUUUCUCUUCCUAAUUCCUAGAAACACACUUAGGACCUUGUAUCUAAUUUUGGUCUCUUCUCUGAAGAUUAAGAAUUCAGAUGCAGACCUCAAUCAGAACAGAUCACACCAACCAAUGGACAGUCAUAUGGAUUUUGCCACCAAGCGUUCUGAUUUGGUGCCAAGCUUGCGGAAAAUAGGUGUAUGAAUCAGAGUCCAAGAAAAUAAAUGUCUCACUCAAAUUAGGAUAGUUUAUUUGCAAGGGACUAAUUACAAAAGCUUAAAGGAGUAAGGGUCAUAUCAGAAUUUAUGAGAGCUGAGUAACCCCUUUCAUUCCCAGCUUUGCGUUUCAUUGUUUAUUUGGGAAAUAAAAUAACAGUGUGCCUGCUUGCUUACAUCACUUAUUUAUGUACAAGUAAAGCGAAU
rnacentral:lncRNA from 1 species